AAUUCAGUGUGCUUAGUACGGCGAGUGAAGCGGCAAAAGCUCAAAUUUGAAAUCUGGCACCUUCGGUGUCCGAGUUGUAAUUUGAAGAAGGUAACUUUGGAGUUGGCUCUUGUCUAUGUUCCUUGGAACAGGACGUCACAGAGGGUGAGAAUCCCGUGCGAUGAGAUGCCCAAUUCUAUGUAAAGUGCUUUCGAAGAGUCGAGUUGUUUGGGAAUGCAGCUCUAAGUGGGUGGUAAAUUCCAUCUAAAGCUAAAUAUUGGCGAGAGACCGAUAGCGAACAAGUACAGUGAUGGAAAGAUGAAAAGAACUUUGAAAAGAGAGUGAAAAAGUACGUGAAAUUGUUGAAAGGGAAGGGCUUGAGAUCAGACUUGGUAUUUUGCGAUCCUUUCCUUCUUGGUUGGGUUCCUCGCAGCUUACUGGGCCAGCAUCGGUUUGGAUGGUAGGAUAAUGACUAAGGAAUGUGGCUCUACUUCGGUGGAGUGUUAUAGCCUUGGUUGAUACUGCCUGUCUAGACCGAGGACUGCGUCUUUUGACUAGGAUGUUGGCAUAAUGAUCUUAAGCCACCCGUCUGAAAAUGCAACACAAAAAAAGGAGGAACCUGGCAAUUCUUUUUUGAACUAAGGGAAUGUUUGGGCCAAUAAAUGGGAUUCUUUUAAGCCCCCCCCCUUCUUGACACCCCCGGGACACAAAAAA
rnacentral:rRNA from 1 species